UUUUUGGACUGAGGGAAAAACAAGGAUUGAAGGCAGAUGGUCCUCAGCAGGUCUUGCACACUGACAUUUACUUAACACUGAUCAGCCUUGAUUUCUGUGUGGGUGGCUGAGAUCCUAGGAAGACUCAGUUUGGAAGGUUGUCAAGGGAGCGCAAGUCUAAUCUGUUCUCUCCCACACCAGGUUUUGGACCACACUUGUUCCACCCAAUGGGACCGCCCCCUCCUUUCAUGAGAGCUCCAGGACCAAUCCACUACCCGUCUCAGGACCCUCAGAGAAUGGGAGCUCAUGCUGGAAAGCACAGCAGCCCCUAGCACCACGUCACCACCUGGCCUCUGAGGAAGAAAGGGCACUCAAAUCCCAGUAAACGAGUCCUGGGAUAAGUAUAAUUUCCCUUGCUUUGUAGUUUCCAUGGUAGCUGAAUGUGUCCCGAUGUGGGCAGAGAACACAGCUAUGCUUCCCCACAUGUAUUCAGAGGAUCGGCGGGCCUAAAACAAGAAGCUGUCCUGAACAUAGCUGCUUACCACCACAGCAGUACUAAGAGCCUUAUGUCUGUUCCCUUCCCACCCUGUGGGAACACGCACAUGGUGAACUGGAAUAACCAGCGGAGUCCCCAUCCUAGUGUGUUCAUUUUGUAUCUUUUUGGGAGGGAGGCAAAAAUUGACCUGCAGUUUAAAAAAAUAUUUUGACCAUUUUUAUGUCUAUUUGGUAUUUUCUUUUAUAUCAUCUAAAAAAUAUUUAGUACUAAUCAUUGUAGUGGCAUAAAAGUGAUUUAACUAAUUUGAAGUCACACCCUCAGAGAGGGUGCCUGAGAUGAAAUGAUUUUAAGAAACUUCCUGUGAAACACUUUGACAAACUGAAAGGAAGCGCCUUAGAGUCCGUUUGACUGGCAGACUGCCUGCAGCUGGAACUGAUGUCCGCACUUCCCUGUGUCUUCAGCGGCUUUCUCACUGCCUCUGGGCAGGAGACUGGGUUCAUUCUUAGAAUUUUUGAAUUUAACUGAAUUGUAGAUGGUAAGGGGAAUUUGAUGUUGUAUUGUAUUUUUUGUUUUUAAUUAAAAACGGGUCAAUUUUCCAAAUGUUCCUGGAUUUCUGUUUCUUUUUACCCUUUGGUAUUAAAUGUGCAAUAAGU
rnacentral:lncRNA from 1 species